GGCAUGGGUGGAGCCACCAGUCCUCAGGCCUCCAAUGUAGGUGUUAAAGGUCCAAAGAAAGCGUGGCACAGGACAGGGGACAGAUGAGAACGCAGUGGGAAGCCUUACGUCACAGAAGCAAGGGAAGCCCUUGUACUCUUUGUCCACUCUAUCCAGUGAUUGAAGUGGAAGUGUCACCUGGUACAGUCCAUACCCCCGUGCCUCUUUAGUGAUGCCAUUGUUCUCACCCACAAAUCGGUUUGAAUCCUGCUGAUCAAGAUGUGCAGAGGAUCCUUGUAAAUGACCCUUAUCAUGUGGACCUUCCAGGAGAAAUAAUUCUGUGUCAUAGAGAUCACCGCCUUCAUCGAUACAUCAGCACCCUGUAAGGUAAGAAUGAAGAAGAUAACCUCUCCAGGGUCAGUUUUGUAAAUCUGUAAUAUGUGUACGAUAACCAAUGACCGCACAAGAGGAGUUUUGAGGAUUGAAUGAGAUUAUGUAUGUGAAAUGACCUUAUAAACAGAAGAUCUGUGUACAUAUAAGUUGUUGUUAUAAAGACAUCUUGACUGAUGUAAUGGAUAUCUGUGUUAUUUUUGGUCAGCC